rnacentral:rRNA from 1 species
UACGGAGGGAGCUAGCGUUGUUCGGAAUUACUGGGCGUAAAGCGCACGUAGGCGGCUUUGUAAGUUAGAGGUGAAAGCCCGGGGCUCAACUCCGGAACUGCCUUUAAGACUGCAUCGCUUGAAUCCAGGAGAGGUGAGUGGAAUUCCGAGUGUAGAGGUGAAAUUCGUAGAUAUUCGGAGGAACACCAGUGGCGAAGGCGGCUCGCUGGCUCGAUACUGACGCUGAGGUGCGAAAGCGUGGGGAGCAAACAGG